rnacentral:rRNA from 1 species
AACGAACGCUGGCGGCAUGCCUAACACAUGCAAGUCGAACGAGAUCUUCGGGUCUAGUGGCGCACGGGUGCGUAACGCGUGGGAAUCUGCCCUUUGGUUCGGAAUAACAGUUGGAAACGACUGCUAAUACCGGAUGAUGACGAAAGUCCAAAGAUUUAUCGCCAGAGGAUGAGCCCGCGUAGGGUUAGCUAGUUGGUGUGGUAAAGGCGCACCAAGGCGACGAUCCUUAGCUGGUCUGAGAGGAUGAUCAGCCACACUGGGACUGAGACACGGACCAGACGCCUACGGGGGGCAGCAGUGGGGAAUAUUGGACAAGGGGCGAAAGCCUGAUCCAGCAAUGCAGCGUGGGUGAUGAAGGCCUUAGGGUUGUAAAGCUCUUUUACCCGGGAUGAUAAUGACAGUACCGGGAGAAUAAGCUCCGGCUAACUCCGUGCCAGCCGCCGCCGUAA